CCCCUUUCCUGUCUCCGUGAGACACUUCUUACAUGCUGUUACUUGCGCCGCGCUUCUUCACAGCAAGUGGAUGAGCGCCGGAGGAGCAGCCUAAAUGAAGCCACAGGAACACCGCGUGAGAUGCGGCUCGGCUCGACCCCCUUUUACGCACGGCAGAAGAUGUGACUUGCUUCGAUUGUGUCUGAAGAAGGCUGCUGGUAACUGAUCCCGGUGUGUUCCCCUGUCAGACGGAGAGCAUAAAGUUAGCCUCAGACGUUUAUACCUCCGCAAAAAUCAUGGGGAAGAAGAACUUGCCUGCGCGAUGGAGACUUCCAGCGUUGGUCAUGUGGCUCAUCCUCCUUUGCGCACAGGGUCCAAACUGGGAUUCCAAAAAACAAGCCAGUCACAUCGUUCCACUCCUGGCUCUGCGCCUCCAGCUGCUGUGGCCGUUAUGCAAAUUCUCCCGCUCUCUGGAAGCGAAUGGAAUGCAAUCCGUGUCCCAGUGGGCUCGGACGGGAUCAUCAAGGUGGAGAAGGCUUGGCUUUGCUUGUAAACAUUAAACAAAACAGUCUGGAAAACACGAUGGAAUAGUGGUUGUUGUUGAAAGUGACUGUAUCAGCGGGGUUUUCAAUGUUAACCUCUGAUAUUUCAUCCAUCCACGCAUUUGCCUACUUUUCUUCUUCACAUUUUCAACUUCAUUUUUGAAUGUAUUUUUCCCAAAAUAAAGUUAGCUGUGGGAGUAGAUUUUCUGUAUUUAGCAUAAAUGGAGUAACAAUCUUUUUUCUGGAUUGUUUAGAAGUUGUGUUUUUUGAGCUUUUCACAGGAAUCGGGGUCACGUCUGAAUCUCUGGAACCCAGUGUCCUCAGUCCUGCUUACCUGUUGGCUAGAAGCACAGAGCAUCACUAUCCUGGUGGAGCUAGAAAACAAAGGCUGGCUGAUAUUUGACUUUUUUGGCACUUAAAUGCAUGCCACUCUUACACUUGUUGCCCGAGGCUGCAUUCACUCACCAAGGAAGUGAAAUGAGUUGAGCCUGAAGGCCUAAAAGCAAGGACAUGCACAACAAAACGUUGUUUUUCGGUUAGAAAUGCUACACUUUGGAUAAAUACAAAUGAUGGAGGAAUCCAGGAAUCUAGGUUUUUCCAGUGAUUACAAGUGAAGUCUGAAACCAGUUUGUUUUUGGUAUCAUUCGGUCCAGACUGUUGGAUUUAGAAAGUUUCCUUCAUUUUCUAUUUUCUAAUCUUAUCAUGACAGUUAAAAAGCAAAAUAAUCUUAUUUUGAGAAAACGGGGCUUAGUGACUAGAAUUUGUUUUUCUUAAAAAAAGAAUUCUUGGUAAAACCAUUUUUCUUAUCCAUUGGCAGAUUUAUUUUUUUGUUUAUUUAAAGAUCUGCCAAUUUGGUAUUGAUUU
rnacentral:lncRNA from 1 species